GACAAUUGACAACAUUUCAUAUUUUUAAGUGCUACUUUUUAUUGUCUACAUCGAAAAAACGCACUAAUUUAAGGUACCCGUAUUUUUUUUAUUUUGCGUAAGUCCUAUAUUUUGGUCAUAAAAUCUAUUUAUAUUGUUACUUGAAACAAAAGGGCGUAUGUAACAAACGUCAUUUAUGAGAAUCGUGACGUCACGGAUCUGUUUAAUACACUGGAAAAAACGUUGAAUUAAUUUACGUUUGAGCAUAGACAACAGUGCGAGUCACAUAACUUCAAACGUUAAAAAUAAAAUCACAAAUUAACAAGUGUCACAAACUUCAAAACUCAAGUCAAACGAUUGGUUUUCAUCCCGUUUUCAAUAAUAUUUUGACAAUGACAAUGUCAACCCAAUCGGAAGUCAUUUCUUUGCUUGUAGUGGCAGAACUGAAGCAGCUGGGUGACGUCAAUUUCCGUUUUAACUAUUUUUAGAGAUUUUGAAUACAAAAAAUCGUAAAAAAUAUAUAAAA